GGGUUAGUAGGUUGGUCAUGCCUCUGGUAUGUACUGGUCUCACUGAUUCCUCCUUCCUGAUGAGCCGUAAUGCCAUUAAUUUGGUGUUGCGGGGAAUUUGGACUGUUACUGUGAAAAAAUUAGAGUGUUCAAAGCAGGCAAUCGCUUGGAUACAUUAGCAUGGAAUAAUGAAAUAGGACGUUCGAUCCUAUUUUGUUGGUUUCUAGGAUAGACGUA
rnacentral:rRNA from 1 species